ACGAGUUCGUAGACAUGGAGUAGACCCGAACCGGAGUUGUAAUGAAGAAGUUACGGUCAAAAUACUCACGAGGGCAAAAUGGAAAUUUUGGGAGAUCAUUUUUUUUAAAUCUGUUUUCUUCUCUCACUCUCUCAUUCUCUCUCUCUCUCUCCCUCUCUCUCUCUCCCUCCCGAUAGUUCAGAAAAAACCAGAAGGGCAGCCACCUUCCAAGCCACCCCGACCCUCCGGAACGGACCCAGCAGCACCGGCCAGCUCCCGCCAGCAACCUCAGCCCGUCCGCCGCCCCUGCUGGAGCCGCUGGAAACUGCUGGAAAACGCAGCAGUUUUGGCCGAUUUUCCAACCUCAGUUUCUCCCUCAUCCGGACACCAAAUCAGUCAUGUGAGGCAUCAGAGGCCAAACUGAACCACAGGAGGGACCUUCAAGAGGUCCAGCUAGCUCGGACCAGCAACUUUGAGAUUUAUGAUUCAGAAAUAUCUAGCUCAGAUUUUAUCAGAAUACAGAGGAUGUCAGAUUUUAUCCAAGAUAAUUAUUUUAGACCACCAUGAAUUAUAGAAAGCAGAGUUUGAGUUUUCUAUCAGAUAAAAAGGGCAGCACAGUUAUAGAUUGAAUAAAGAUUCAGUUAUUCAUCAGAUCUUUCAGAAAUAUUAUGAUAUUUAUAUUUGAUAUUUUCUCAGCAGUUAAUAUUUUCUUAAACCACUGUGGGUACCCGGUUACAGAAACAGGUGGCCGUCAAAUAAGACGAUGUCUACGGAUAUCCAGAUUGCCUUCGGUUUAUGUUGCCUUCGGAUAUGAUGAUGUCUACAGACAUCCAAUUUACUUUCAGUUACGUCAGUGCACUUGACAUUUGCCUCACGAGUUUUGGGGACGCCCGGACCGUGAGUGCCAGGAUUGCGGAUCAGGCUGACUACGGUCUCCUGAAUCCUGCCAGUUUGUUGCUCGGAUACACUAUGUGUCGCCGAGACCUGCCAGGGGAAUUGACGGAUGUACAGAGGAUUUGACAGUUUUACAGGGGUACACCUAGGUGGUAGUUUUAAAGAAAUUUCAGUGCUUUUAUGCAAAUAUUGAUUUCAGUGAUUUUACUCAA